AGAGUUUGAUCCUGGCUCAGGAUUAACGCUGGCGGUAUGCCUAACACAUGCAAGUCGAACGGAAUACUAAUUAAGAGAAUCUCACACUAGUGAGAGGUUCUCACGAGUAGUAUUUAGUGGCGGACGGGUGAGUAACACGUUGGAACCUGCCCCGAAGUGGGGAAUAACUGCUCGAAAGAGUAGCUAAUACCCCAUAGUAUCCGGUUUAUCCGGAUUAAAGAUUUAUCGCUUCGGGAGGGGCCUGCGUCUGAUUAGCUAGUUGGUGAGGUAAAAGCUCACCAAGGCGACGAUCAGUAGCUGGUUCGAGAGGAUGACCAGCCACACUGGGACUGAGAUACGGCCCAGACUCCUACGGGAGGCAGCAGUGAGGAAUCUUCCACAAUGGGCGCAAGCCUGAUGGAGCAAUACCGCGUGCAGGAAGACGCUUUUCGGAGUGUAAACUGCUUUUGUCGCCGAAGAUUAUGACUGUAGACGAAGAAUAAGGACCGGCUAACUACGUG
rnacentral:rRNA from 1 species